CCGGCUGCCACCGUCGGGGCCGGCAGGAUCGAGUGGCUGAAUCGCCUCAUCGAUCUGGAAUCGAUCUUGUAUCCAUGUUGCUCAAAGGGAGAAUGUGGCUAUGAGCA
rfam:Afipia broomeae ATCC 49717 genomic scaffold supercont1.4, whole genome shotgun sequence.